GGGAAUAUUGCACAAUGGGCGAAAGCCUGAUGCAGCAACGCCGCGUGAGUGAUGAAGGUCUUCGGAUCGUAAAACUCUGUCUUAUGGGACGAUAAUGACGGUACCAUAGGAGGAAGCCACGGCUAACUACGU
rnacentral:rRNA from 1 species